GACGAACGCUUGCGGCGUGCUUAACACAUGCAAGUCGAGCGGUAAGGCCCCUUCGGGGGUACACGAGCGGCGAACGGGUGAGUAACACGUGAGUAACCUGCCCCAUUCUUCGGAAUAACCAGUGGAAACGCUGGCUAAUGCCGAAUAUGACCAUCGAAGGCAUCUUCUGGUGGUGGAAAGCUCCGGCGGAGUGGGAUGGACUCGCGGCCUAUCAGGUUGUUGGUGAGGUAACGGCUCACCAAGGCGACGACGGGUCGCGGGCCUGAGAGGGUGACCGGCCACACUGGGACUGAGACACGGCCCAGACUCCUACGGGAGGCAGCAGUGGGGAAUAUUGGACAAUGGGCGAAAGCCUGAUCCAGCAACGCCGCGUGAGGGAUGACGGCCUUCGGGUUGUAAACCUCUUUCAGCAGGGACGAAGCGAAAGUGACGGUACCUGCAGAAGAAGGACCGGCCAACUACGUGCCAGCAGCCGCCGUAACAC
rnacentral:rRNA from 1 species